UGGGCCCGACGUCGCAUGCUCCCGGCCGCCAUGGCGGCCGCGGGAAUUCGAUUGGGUUGAUCCUGCCGGAGGCCAUUGCUAUCGGAAUCCGUUUUAGCCAUGCGAGUCGCACGGGUUUAGACCCGUGGCGAACUGCUCAGUAACACGUGGCCAAACUACCCUAUAGACACGGACAAUCUCGGGAAACUGAGGGUAAUCCGUGAUAGCGAUCUCCUGCUGGAAUGUGGAGAACGCGAAAUGCUCAGGCGCUAUAGGAUGUGGCUGCGGCCGAUUAGGUAGACGGUGGGGUAACGGCCCACCGUGCCCAUAAUCGGUACGGGUCAUGAGAGUGAGAGCCCGGAGACGGACUCUGAGACACGAGUCCGGGCCCUACGGGGCGCAGCAGGCGCGAAACCUUUACACUGCACGACAGUGCGAUAAGGGGAUUCCGAGUGCGAGGGCAUACAGUCCUCGCUUUUGUACACCGUAGGGUGGUGUACGAAUAAGGGCUGGGCAAGACCGGUGCCAGCCGCCGCGGUAACACCGGCAGCCCAAGUGAUGGCCGCUAUUAUUGGGCCUAAAGCGUCCGUAGCUGGCCGGACAGGUCCGUUGGGAAAUCCACUUGCUUAACGAGUGGGCGUCCAGCGGAAACCGUUCGGCUUGGGACCGGAAGACCCGAGGGGUACGUCUAGGGUAGGAGUGAAAUCCUGUAAUCCUGAACGGACCACCGGUGGCGAAAGCGCCUCGGGAGAACGGAUCCGACAGUGAGGGACGAAA
rnacentral:rRNA from 1 species